rnacentral:rRNA from 1 species
UGGAGAGUUUGAUCCUGGCUCAGAUUGAACGCUGGCGGCAGGCCUAACACAUGCAAGUCGAGCGGUAGAGAGGUGCUUGCACCUCUUGAGAGCGGCGGACGGGUGAGUAAUGCCUAGGAAUCUGCCUGGUAGUGGGGGAUAACGCUCGGAAACGGACGCUAAUACCGCAUACGUCCUACGGGAGAAAGCAGGGGACCUUCGGGCCUUGCGCUAUCAGAUGAGCCUAGGUCGGAUUAGCUAGUUGGUGGGGUAAUGGCUCACCAAGGCGACGAUCCGUAACUGGUCUGAGAGGAUGAUCAGUCACACUGGAACUGAGACACGGUCCAGACUCCUACGGGAGGCAGCAGUGGGGAAUAUUGGACAAUGGGCGAAAGCCUGAUCCAGCCAUGCCGCGUGUGUGAAGAAGGUCUUCGGAUUGUAAAGCACUUUAAGUUGGGAGGAAGGGCAUUAACCUAAUACGUUAGUGUUUUGACGUUACCGACAGAAUAAGCACCGGCUAACUCUGUGCCAGCAGCCGCGGUA